AGAGUAAUGUUCCUUGACAUUUUAGAAAUAGUGAUAUAUGUCAUUUCCGUAAAACAACUUGAUAACUUUUCAAUCAAAUAAAAAAAAUGAAGAUGUAGUUUGUGUGCAAAUGAGACAAUUCUCCAUCCAAGUCACAGUGUAUUAGAAGUAAACAAUUUUAGGUCAAAAUUACGGCCUUCAAAAUGGAAUUUUGGCUCACACCGAAAAGCAAGCUAUUCAUGACCCGACAAUGACAAGUGUACAACAAUUCAAAUAGUAAAACCAACGGUCUAAUGUACAUACAAACGAUAAAGGAGAAACACUAAUGAACCACAUUAACAAACGACUAUCACUGAACAAAACUUCUUUCAAAUUUUAAUAUGUGUUAAUGAUGGCAGAAUUGAGGUAAUGUUUGAUUUUGAAAAUAUGUAUGACCCUUUUGUCGCUUUAACAUGUCAAUCUGGUUGGAUGCUGUCAAUUGUUUUAGGUUCACUUUAGCAUGAAAUGAUUAUUUUUUUAUAUCUGAACUCUACGGAGCAUUUCUACCGCUUCUUCUUCGAAUUACUUGAUAAAAAAAAGAAACGGCUGCGCAAUCGUCGCCAUAUUUCCCAUCGCAAAUCACGAAUAUUGCAAUAUCUGUAUUUAAGGACGGGCAUGAGGACGGGUAUACUUUUGUUACCUUUGCUUACAGUAUCAUUCUCUUGUUAGAAGCUGAUUUGUAUAGUAUAAGCGUCCUAAAACAGCUACACUUGUCAACUUUGUAUCUCUUUAAAAGUAGUAUUGCUCCUUUAAAAUACUUAAAGUAGAGUUAGAAAGAAUUCAAGUCUUCACAGAUGUCGAUUUAGAUUGUAAAAUAUAUUUUGUUAUUCAUCAUGUUUACACUAAAAUGACUGGCAAGGGUUGACAAAUCAAAAACUAUUUCAACACCAUACAUGGCUUAAUACAAAUUUGUAAUUUUAAUGCGUGGUAUUGCAUUAAAUUUGUUCAAAUUUAUUGAGCAUGUUGAGUGUAAUGUGUAAUAUAAUUGUAUUUUAAUGCAUAGUUUGAGAGCAAAGUUGUGUAGUAUUUACAUUACAUGCAAUUUUUUUCAUACUACAUAUCUUUCGCAGAUUGUUGCAGAUUUAGCUAAAGCAGAAUUUAAAAUCUUUGGAUCAAGAAAUAAAUCAUUUGGAUAUUGAUUUUUAUUUAUCUGAAAAAGCAUUACUGUAAAAUGUUUUAUUCGUGUCAAAACAUCAAUGAAUACCUUGAUAUAAUUAAGUAACAGAUAAUUGAACAUUGUCAUUGUCAUUAAACACGAAUUAGUUUGUUAUACAAUCCAUAUGUUCAUCAUUUUGAUAAUUUGUCAUUAAUUAAGGUCUAUGUUUAAUAUUGAAUUUGGAAAGAAAUUCUCAGUAAAUAUUUUUUAUUGGAAUUGAUAAAAAACAUGUGUGUUUUAACAAAGGUUAACAUUAGUUCAACUAAGUUUUAAACUUCAUUUCUGUUAUUUCUUUUCACAGAGAUGUAAAACUUGGAACCCUUAUGAUGUUAAAAUGUAAUGAUAUAAUGAAUAGACGUAUUACUUGAUAUAUAAAUAAUGUAUGCGGAACAGUUAUUGCAUAUGCUAGAAUCUUUUAUUACAUAAUGUUGUUUUUCAACCUGUUUGAUAUUUUUCACUUGAUAAUAACAUUAAAAAUGUACUUGUAAUUUUGUGUAUGGUGUUGUCAACGCUUUUGUAAUACAAUGUCUUACAUUGCAAUGCUAUUCACCCCAUACUUGUUCACAAUGCCUUUCAGGUUUAUAUUCAAACUCGCAAGUCCAGCCAGGUCUUCAAAUUUAGACCCAAUGAAAAAUAAUAAGAGUAUACGUUACAUGAAGCAUUGUAUUUAAUAGUGGAAAUUUAUCAUAAAACAGUCAAUAUUUGUACUUGUAUUCAUAGCGAGAAUAUAACAAAUAUAAAUGUUUAAUUACAAUUACCAAAACCUAAACUAAUUCAAUGUUGAACAUGUCAUUGUUUUGUAGUAAUUGUGUAUUGAUGUUAUAUGUUUUGAUUCAAUAGAACGUUG
rnacentral:lncRNA from 1 species